rfam:Microbacterium mangrovi strain MTSC 115 Contig12, whole genome shotgun sequence.
UUCUGACCCUGGGCUUCGACUCCCAGCCGAGACGCCCUGACGCACUUCCCCGGCGCCAGGUCCUCGCGGAUGGGGAUCAGAGUCCAGGGUCGCACCGAG